rnacentral:rRNA from 1 species
GAUGAACGCUGGCGGCGUGCCUAAUACAUGCAAGUCGAGCGAACAGAUGAGGAGCUUGCUCCUCUGACGUUAGCGGCGGACGGGUGAGUAACACGUGGAUAACCUACCUAUAAGACUGGGAUAACUUCGGGAAACCGGAUCUAAUACCGGAUAAUAUAUUGAACCGCAUGGUUCAAUAGUGAAAGACGGUUUUGCUGUCACUUAUAGAUGGAUCUCCGCCGCAUUAGGUAGUUGGUAAGGUAACGGCUUACCAAGGCAACGAUGCGUAGCCGACCUGCGAGGGUGAUCGGCCACACUGGAACUGAGACACGGUCCAGAGUCCUACGGGAGGCAGCAGUAGGGAAUCUUACGCAAUGGGGGAAAGCCUGACGGAGCAACGGCGCGUGAGUGAUGAAGGUCUUCCGAUCGUAAAACCCUGUUUCUAGGGAAGAACCAAUGUGUAAGUAACUAUGCACGUAUUGACGGUAACUAAUAAGAAAGCCACGGCUAACUACGUG